rnacentral:tRNA from 1 species
UGCUCGUUUGCCAAAUGGUAAGGCACUGGGUUUUGAUCCCAGCAUUUAUCUGUUCGAGUCCGGUAUGGGCAG